AACGUAGGUACCGAGCGUUAUCCGGAUUUACUGGGCGUAAAGCGUGUUCAGGCGGUCUGGCAAGUCGGGCAUGAAAUCUCUGGGCUCAACCCGGAGGGGUUGUCCGAUACUGCUGGACUUGAGGGCAGCAGAGGGUGGUGGAAUUCCGGGUGUAGUGGUGAAAUGCGUAGAUAUCCGGAGGAACACCAGUGGCGAAGGCGGCCACCUGGGCUGUACCUGACGCUCAAACACGAAAGCUAGGGGAGCGAACGGG
rnacentral:rRNA from 1 species